rnacentral:lncRNA from 1 species
CCUCGAGCAUGUAUUUCAAAAACAAAACAAUUUUUUGAAGAAUAGAUGGUAGUCAUACUAAAGAAUACUUAUAUCUAAGUGUGUUAUAAAGCAUAUCUAGCUAAUAUGUAAACAUUAGUAAACACAAAUUUGAGAGGCUUAGAAGGUAAGAGAAAACUUGUAUAUCAACAAAAUUUCUUGAGCAGCCAUAAAAGAUCUUCAGACUAUCUCUGAUAUUUGAUAGCAUCCUGAAGACAUUCAUGGAAAUGUGAAAUGCUGAUCGUUUGUUUCCCUGAGUAGACGUCUUCUGCUCCCCCGCCUUCUUCUCCCUGAGCUGCCAUUUCAAGCACCAUGUACAUCUUCUUGAUAGGCAUCUAUGACAAGACUAUCAUUAUUAGUAGAGCAUUUUAAAAGUAAACAUUCAGAUUUUUAGCUCCUGAAGGCUAUUAGCACUUAAGACUUCAAAUUCUUAUAUGUAUUCAUAUGCAAUGCUAAUAGCCUAAUGUCCCAGGAAAUUUUCUAGUUUGCCAAUGCUCAUAUGAAAUUGCAUGACAAAGCCCAGAACAUUGAGCAACUGUAUAGAUAAAUAAGCUCACAUCAUUGAGGGCUUCGGCGGCAGUAUCAAUAUCUUUCUCAGAGAAAACUUUGAGUUGUUCCAACACCUGAAGGCAAAAAGAAAACCAGAACUUGAAUUUAACAAUUAUUUACAUUAUAUCCCCAGGUUGGCGGAAUUCACUCAACUGCUGGUAACAUGGGGAAAAACGCUGGAAAAGCAAAAACACAGUACAUCUGCUGAACUUUCUUUAGGACUAGAAAAAACCUUAAGCUGGGAAAUUAACAAUAUGAUCGAAUCUAAGUGACAAGAUUUUAUGUAGGAAUUGAGAUCAUCUACUAUUUAUUUUUUUUGUCAGGAGAAUCAUCUAUUAUUAUUACUAUUACUAUUAUUAUUAUUAUUAAACAAUAUAUUAGAUAAUGGGUGUAUAAUACUCAUGAUAUUUAACGUUGAGUGAUAAACGUAAACGACAGUUGGUCAAAGGGGUGCAAAGUGAUUAUAGUUUAAGUUGUGGGAUGCAUUUUGCCAAAAUAUAAACUGUGAGACCGAAUUGAAAAAAUAACUAUGAGACAUACAACAAAUGCAUAAUGGUCAAAGCUGUUCCAGUUGUGCAGAGUUGUAAAUACACAAAUACACUUCUUCAUCGAUAAUCUUUGGCCGGAAGGGGGCAGGAUACCCUUAAUUUUACGGCUUCAUGGGAUCUCAUCGUUCAAUAAGAUAUGAUUGUUCAGUAAAAGCAGUCAUUAUUUUCGACGUAUAUGAAUUAUGAGCUCGAAAAUUUCAGCCAUUUGAUUUUCAGUUAAACUGAUAGUUAAAUCACCUAGCAAGAUUUGUACUUUUAUUCUAAAAUACCGAUUCCGUCACAUAAUAUAUGUCCCUUUCUUUUGACUUUUUACUAGUCAAAUUGACUAAACUUUGAUUGAAAUUUAUCUGUAUUAAAAUUUAAAAAUAUACCAUUGGAAAGUGAAUCUAGUCUGUUUAAAAUGUAAAUUUUUAUUUUUAAAAUAAUAAAAGAACUUCUUUUAACAUUAUAGCAAAUAUCGGUUAAUUUGAUUUCUUGAAAACUGAGAGGGACAUUUUAAUUUUGGGACGGAAGGAGUACUAAGUAGAAAAAGGCAUAAAUGCUUCAAAAUCCAGAUCAUCCAGAAUUCCAAAUGGUAGGCACCAGUUACUUGCGUAAACUUACUCCCCUACUUUUAACAUUACAACUUUUCGCAAAGGACUGGAAAAAACCAGACGCAAGGUUUUGAACACCAGACGCAAGGUUUUGAACCUGACUAAUGCUUUUUGUAGGUGCUACCAGAAUCGAUUCCUCUGUUUUUUUUUGGGUAUAUUAGACUUGCCAUUGCAUCGUGUCUUUGUUUUUGCUAAAUAAUGCAUCACAAUCUGAAGUAUACCAAAUGGUAACACAAAGGGAGGGAACAGAACAUUGUUAUUAACUUAUCAACUUAUCCUGGAAUCCAACUUUUGUUUGUUAGGAAAGAAGCUUAAUAUAGCAUAAAUACGAAGAAAGCGAUGCUCUGAUGCAUUUAGAAGGUCGUCGACUUCUUAAUCAGGAAAAAAAGGCAGCUGGUCCAGAACAUACGAAUAUUAAUAACAUAUGUCUAGUGUAAAAAGUCAAAAACUUAGGGUUAAGAUGUCCAACGCUUUUUUCCGCUGAACAUAUGCUACUAACAUACGUAUGAAAGGAACCCGGGCCUGAAAAAGAAAACAAAGCUAGAUGCCAAGAAAUAGAAGUAUUUGCUUCUACGUUGCAUGCUGUAAACAAUUUGUACAUUUACCUAUGUAUAAAUCUUAACCUUAUACUCAUGCCUAAACCUUUAUAUCUACAAGAAAAGUAGCAGCAGCAACUGGAUCAUGGCUGUCCUCUUCAUUCUCCUUCCCACUACUGCUUUCAGACAAGUCUACAUCAAUGCUUUAUUUAACCACACAAGAAAGUAUCGUAUAAAAAAUCUAAUAUAAUUUUCUAUUAUACAAGAAUACAGGAAGGCAAAUUUUGGCAGAUUAAACUAGGCAUCUGCAUAUCAAACUCCACUAAAUUCAACAUUCGUUAUGCAUUUGAGAAAACUGUAUAGAGUACAUUUCUACAUAAACUAUAUUGUCCUCGAGCAUGUAUUUCAAAAACAAAACAAUUUUUUGAAGAAUAGAUGGUAGUCAUACUAAAGAAUACUUAUAUCUAAGUGUGUUAUAAAGCAUAUCUAGCUAAUAUGUAAACAUUAGUAAACACAAAUUUGAGAGGCUUAGAAGGUAAGAGAAAACUUGUAUAUCAACAAAAUUUCUUGAGCAGCCAUAAAAGAUCUUCAGACUAUCUCUGAUAUUUGAUAGCAUCCUGAAGACAUUCAUGGAAAUGUGAAAUGCUGAUCGUUUGUUUCCCUGAGUAGACGUCUUCU